UGGCCUACCAAGGCGACGACGGGUAGCCGGCCUGAGAGGGCGACCGGCCACACUGGGACUGAGACACGGCCCAGACUCCUACGGGAGGCAGCAGUGGGGAAUAUUGCACAAUGGGCGAAAGCCUGAUGCAGCGACGCCGCGUGAGGGAUGACGGCCUUCGGGUUGUAAACCUCUUUCGACAGGGACGAAGCGCAAGUGACGGUACCUGUAGAAGAAGCACCGGCCAACUACGUGCCAGCAGCCGCGGUAAUACGUAGGGUGCGAGCGUUGUCCGGAAUUACUGGGCGUAAAGAGCUUGUAGGCGGUUCGUCGCGUCGAUCGUGAAAACGUGCAGCUCAACUGCACGCUUGCGGUCGAUACGGGCGGACUAGAGUACUGCAGGGGAGACUGGAAUUCCUGGUGUAGCGGUGAAAUGCGCAGAUAUCAGGAGGAACACCGGUGGCGAAGGCGGGUCUCUGGGCAGUAACUGACGCUGAGAAGCGAAAGCGUGGGUAGCGAACAGGAUUAGAUACCCUGGUAGUCCACGCCGUAAACGGUGGGCGCUAGGUGUGGGUUUCCUUCCACGGGAUCCGUGCCGUAGCUAACGCAUUAA
rnacentral:rRNA from 1 species